rnacentral:misc_RNA from 1 species
GUAACAAGGUCUCCGUAGGUGAACCUGCGGAGGGAUCAUUACUGAGUGAGGGCCUCUGGCCCGACCUCCAACCCCAUGUUAUCUGACACUGUUGCCUCCGGGGCGACCCGGCCUGCCUUCGGGCGUUUCGGGGCCCCGGGUGGACCAUUCAACUCUGCAUCUUUGCGUCUGAGUAAAUGAUUGAAUCAAUCAAAACUUUCAACAACGGAUCUCUUGGUUCUGGCAUCGAUGAAGAACGCAGCGAAAUGCGAUAAGUAAUGUGAAUUGCAGAAUUCAGUGAAUCAUCGAAUCUUUGAACGCACAUUGCGCCCCUUGGUAUUCCGAGGGGCAUGCCUGUUCGAGCGUCAUUACACCACUCAAGCCUCGCUUGGUAUUGGGCGCCGCGGUCCGCCGCGCGCCUCAAUGUUUCCGGCUGAGCUCUCUGUCUCUAAGCGUUGUGGUUAAAACUAUCCGCUUGCGAGAUCGGGGGGCGUCUGGCCGUUAAACCAUUACUCAAAGGUUGACCUCGGAUCAGGUAGGGAUACCCGCUGAACCUAAGCAUAUC